rnacentral:lncRNA from 1 species
CCUUCAUCAUCAUCUCCUAUUAUAAUGUCUUCCUCAGUUAUUUCAUCUAAUGAUAAGUAAAAAUCAUCGGACAUGUCAAUUAUCUACUGUGGAGUAUAUCUUUCAUGUAAAUUCCUUUUGAAAAAUCGAAAAUAGCACACACACACAUCCAAGUAAAAAUGUUGCCUUAAAUUUUUGAUUUUUUUUUUAUCACUUCCAAUUGAAUUUGUUCUCAAAAUUCUCUUUUUCACAAAUCCAAGUAAAAAUUGU